GACGAACGCUGGCGGCGUGCUUAACACAUGCAAGUCGGACGGUGAAGGGGUCUGCUUUUGUGGGCCCUGGAUGAGUGGCGAACGGGUGAGUAACACGUGAGUAACCUGCCCCCUUCUUCUGGAUAACCGCAUGAAAGUGUGGCUAAUACGGGAUAUUCUGGGUCUGUCGCAUGAUGGGUCUGGGAAAGAUUGCGCCUUUGGGUGUUUUUGGUGGGGGAUGGGCUCGCGGCCUAUCAGCUUGUUGGUGGGGUGAUGGCCUACCAAGGCGGUGACGGGUAGCCGGCCUGAGAGGGUGGACGGUCACACUGGGACUGAGACACGGCCCAGACUCCUACGGGAGGCAGCAGUGGGGAAUAUUGCACAAUGGGCGCAAGCCUGAUGCAGCGACGCCGCGUGAGGGAUGGAGGCCUUCGGGUUGUAAACCUCUUUCGCCAGUGAAGCAGGCCUGCUCCUUGUGGGUGGGUUGACGGUAGCUGGAUAAGAAGCGCCGGCUAACUACGUG
rnacentral:rRNA from 1 species